AUUGAACGCUGGCGGCAGGCUUAACACAUGCAAGUCGAGCGGGGGAAGGUAGCUUGCUACCGGACCUAGCGGCGGACGGGUGAGUAAUGCUUAGGAAUCUGCCUAUUAGUGGGGGACAACAUCUCGAAAGGGAUGCUAAUACCGCAUACGUCCUACGGGAGAAAGCAGGGGAUCUUCGGACCUUGCGCUAAUAGAUGAGCCUAAGUCGGAUUAGCUAGUUGGUGGGGUAAAGGCCUACCAAGGCGACGAUCUGUAGCGGGUCUGAGAGGAUGAUCCGCCACACUGGGACUGAGAAACGGCCCAGACUCCUACGGGAGGCAGCAGUGGGGAAUAUUGGACAAUGGGGGGAACCCCGAUCCAGCCAUGCCGCGUGUGUGAAGAAGGCCUUAUGGUUGUAAAGCACUUUAAGCGAGGAGGAGGCUACUCUAGUUAAUACCUAGGGAUAGUGGACGUUACUCGCAGAAUAAGCACCGGCUAACUCUGUGCCAGCCGCCGCCGUAA
rnacentral:rRNA from 1 species